rnacentral:misc_RNA from 1 species
GGUCCCGCUUCCGCCGUCACUUCCCAAAACCUCUCGUUCCAGAUUUAUUAUCUUCACCUCGUCGACCCGAUGCCUACGCAGCCAUUUCCCGGCGACAAGCCUUCCUCGUAGAUCGAGAUCCCCAAACCUACCUGUGUAGGCGGAGAGGAGGGCGAUUUCUGUCGUCAUCGCUGGAUUCCACUCGCCGUCUCCGUCGCCCUGAUUCCACUCACUCGCCACCGCACUUUUUCUGGAGCCACUUCGUCCAUUUGAGCGAGGUUUUUUCCCAUGCUUUUUUAUGUCACUAUUUUGAAUCCCUCGGUGUGUACUGUGCUGUCUCAUUUUAUAUGUUGGUUUUUGUCAUUUUAUAUGUUGAUUUUUGGCAACGGAGCACCUAGUGUCGUGGAUCAAUAGAGUAGCAAAGAUGAAUCUGUACAGUAGCAUGGGCAUGAGCCUUUUUGUGGUGAUUUGAGUUCUCGUACGAAUUUAGAAUCCGCGGGUUCAGAUGUGUGUAUUGCGGCGUUCUUUACUCGGCAUGUGGUUCAUUGGUGGGAUUCGGUUGCAGAUUUGCAACACUCCAGUGCUUGAUCGAUAGGGGAUGUUUUCCUGUUCAUGAAUUUGUAUUGGAUGGAGCAGAUGCAACGAACAUAAUAUCAUUACAUCAUAGAAAGGGGAUUAGAGAAACAGCUUUUCCAGACCGUAACCACCUGUCGUUCCUGUGUUUUCAUUCUCUCUGCCCAGAGCGUAGCGUCCUCAACACAGAGUCGAAGCACCCGUUGUAGCGAUGGUGCUUCCUCCCUGAACAUGACAACAUUGCGGUGGGCAUUUUGCUUUGAUUCUGGUGUCUGUAACUUUAUUUGAAUGCUCCAUUUCAUUUCAGAGAUGAAUGGGCUGAUAUGUUAGUUUGAAUCUGAUCCCAUGGUAUGCUGUCUGUAGUUUGGUUGAUUAAUUGCCGAACUUCCUGCAUGUGGCUGAAAUAUUUUGGAUUUGAAGCAUUUCAUCUCAUAUAUGCAUGUUGACUGAUCCUCCUUGUAUUUCUGAUAUACCUUCUUUUCGCAUCUGAAGUAUUUCGCUUCACAGAUGUAUGAACUGUUCUCCCAGUGCGUUCUGAGAUGUUUGGUUCAAUUAAACCCGAUUCCCUGCACGUUAUGUUUUCUUCUGGAUCAUGCUGAUGGUAUCCUGCCGUCUUGUUUGGUUUAUAAAAUCUCUGUGCGUGUUAUGAAUUCUUCAGUGUUGAUCCUAAUGAGUUAGCAACAAACCAAUACCUGAACUUGGCUCCUGUUGGCUGUUGCUUUGAGAAAUUAUGGGCUGUUGGUUGCACUUGUUGCUUUAUCCUGUUCUGUCUUUGUGCGUUCCUUAUUAAUUUCUGCACAACUGUAAAUCUGUUUGAACUGGCAUUAUUUCUGAAUUUUGGGAACAGAGAAUUGCACAAAUUCAUUUGACACGCACGAUUCUUACAAUCUGAGACUGAUUUUGGAAGGCAAGCUGCAGAUAAUUUUUAUGCUGGGAUUCUGGUGUGAAUUGAAUAGAGAAAGGAAAUCGCUGUUGCAACUCUAUCUCAAUGCUGCAUUUUGUUUGAGAGAUGCAUGGACUGAUCCGUUAGUACUGAUCACUUCGUAUCUGUUAUUUGGUUAACUAACAUAACUCCCUGCAUGUCUCUGAGCUCUUCUGCAUCUGAAGCAUAUUGUUUUCAAAACGCAUUUGGAUUGAUCCCCUAGUUUGCUUCUAACUUGCAUUCUUCUACAUCUAAAGCUUCAUUUCGUUUCAGAGAUUUAUCAUUUAUGGACUUAUCUCCCACUAUGUUCUGAGUUGUUUGGUUAAGUUAACCCAGCCUCCUAUGUGUUUUGCUUUCUUCCCCAUCAUGUAGUCAUCAAGUGGCUGAGCCUUGGGAUGUUGCCUCAGUUUUUUUUUUCCUUGUGUUGAUCUUGAAUUUGUGUAUCUAUGCUUUGACAUCUGCUUACUGGCCUACAACAGGUUGGUUUAUCUGGAUACUACAUGAUAGCUGAUUUCUUAUAUAUGUGAGCCUUUUGUAGCUGAUGACCACAUAGUACAAAUUAUCCCUUCUAUUAAAAGUAGCAGUUGUUUUUGUAGGUAAUACAUGAUUUAUCCUUUCGGUAGGCUUUUUUAGUAAUAGAUUCAUGACUAAUGUUGAUAGGAAGAAGAUAACCUAUGCAAGUCAUGUUGGAUUGUUUAGUGACAGAUAGCUAAUAUCUGUAGUGUAUAUUCUCUAUCUGUGAUUUUCCCAUUUCACUCCUAUUGGUUCAUAAAAUAUGGGGACGGUCAUAGGUAGCAACUAGGUUGCAUUUUAGUGCUGUUCAAUUCAUGUCCAUGCUUUCUUUUCAGGCUUGUAGGUUUUCUGCCAUUAUUGAGCUUUUCCAUGGCCACUGCAAACAAUCCAGGUCCCCUUGACUUGGUUCCAGGUUUUUCACCUGAAGACAUGGACAACCCCAUUCAUAAUGCUGCCUUAUCCUACGUGUCAUAUGAUAGAUAUGUGUUAGAUACCUCUGAAGUGUAUUUUGAUGAUUGCAUCCCAUUGGAGUCUUAUCUGAAUAUUAGACCAAUGGUGACUUCUGAUUCGUAUCAGUUUCGUUCAUUUGGGGAAACUAAUCCAAGUGUGACUUAUCUGGUUGCAACAGAGUCAUAGAACUGCCUCCAUCGCGCGCGGGCGAUGGCGGCCAGGAACAAGAGGGUAGUGAGGUCCUCAAGAAGGAGGCCUCUCUGGGUCCAUGGAGUGCUGGUUGGAGGAGUCUGGGAAGAAGGUGGUCAAGUACAAGAUGCCUAAUGUUGUUAUC